AAAAAAACUAUAAUUACUUCUUACUCCAUGGUUUAAUUUUGAACUUAAAAAGAAACAUAAACUAUUACUACCACUUCUAAUUAGCACACAAGAAACUUGCUUGAAUUUAAAAAAGACAUGACACAAUUAAGAACCUAAAAAAAAAUCAUGGCACCCUUAUUAGAAAUUUCUCUAAAAAAAAGGUAAAGGCAAAGCUCUAAACAUAUAAUGCCAAACUUGAUGAAAUUCCAAACCAAAUCUAAAUACCCAUGCUAACAAGCACUUCAUGUGAAAUAAGUAUAAUGAACACAUGUGAACAUGU
rnacentral:lncRNA from 1 species